UACAGAGGUCUCAAGCGUUGUUCGGAUUCAUUGGGCGUAAAGGGUGCGUAGGCGGCACUGUAAGUCGGGUGUGAAAUUUCGGAGCUUAACUCCGAAACUGCAUUCGAUACUGGCGUGCUUGAGGACUGGAGAGGAGACUGGAAUUCAUGGUGUAGCAGUGAAAUGCGUAGAGAUCAUGAGGAAGACCAGUGGCGAAGGCGGGUCUCUGGGCAGUUCCUGACACUGAGACGCGAAGGCCAGGGGAGCAAACGGG
rnacentral:rRNA from 1 species